UUUAUCUACAUCUUCCCCAUAUAUUUAUUUUCCAAUGUAAUCAAACUCUACUCUUCCCCAUAUACUUCUCUUCCCCCCAUUAACUUAACACAAAUGUUUCUCACUUAUCAUCUUUCUCAAAUCACAUUUCUAACUUAUCAUCUUCCUCAAAUCAUCAUCUGGUUUUCUCACUCCAAGUUCAAAACUUCCACUUUUGGUUUGGAUAUCUGAAGUUAUUCCAUAUCUGGGAAAGUAUGUCGGGAAGUCCAUGGAUUCUACACUGCUCAUUGCCCGUUUACUAAGAUGAUACACUUCAAAGAGCGAAGAUAAAGUUGAAGGUGAUCCAUUUAAGUAUAAGGAGAGAAGUAUGAAGAUUGUUCACCCAUACCUCAUCCCUACUUUGCGUGAGAUGGGACAUAAUUACAUGAAAAUAUUUAAGCCAUAUAUGGAUGAAGUGAAGGAGGCAAUCAUCAAUAUAUUGAAUGCCCAAUGGAAAAGUCUGACCGUCCUCACUGAAGGUGAUGAACAUUUUGGUGAUCACAAUGUACAUUGUGUGAAUUCUAUUUUAGUAAACAGAAAACUGUACCUAGUACCUCUAAUGCUGGGAAUUUGGAAAAUCUAAGUGAUCGUGUCUUAUCACUUGAGAAAUCAAUGGUCCGAAUUGUUGCCUAUAUAUGGGACAAAAAGUUGAGGAGAAUUGAAAAGAAUAAAAAAAAACAAGAUAAAGGUAAAUGUAUAGUUACCGUCAAGUAAUUCAUUCCUAUAUUUUUUUGUCAAAGUAAUAUAGUACAUGUGGACAUUACAAUAGAUAAUGAAGACUUGUAGUAGUUGAUGAAGACAUUGGUGAAAUUGGUGAAUUCUUUACAGAUGGAGUUGAUGGUAUGACAUUUGAUAAAGUGACAGGUGAUGGUGUGGUAGAGUAUGAUGUUGUAUAUGAAGUGACAUGUGUAGUUGAUCCAGUGAUAGUUAUUGAUGAAGUGACAUGUCUUGAUGUUGUUGAUGAAGUGACAACUGGUGAAGUGGCAGGUGUAGUUGAUGAUGUUGCAAGUGGCGAAUAGGGAGGUGUUGAUGUUGUUUAUGAAGUGGUAAGUGGUGAAGUGGCAGAUGCAUUUGAUGAUAUGGCAUGUGCAAAUGAUGCAGUGACAAUUGAUGUUAUUGAUGAAGUAACAGUGGUGGUUGAUUCUAUGGUAGUUGAUGAUGUGGUAGAUGCAGUUGUUCCAAGGGAAGUUAUUGUUAUUGAUGAAGUGAUCGUUGGUAUUAUCGAUGAAGCGGCAAGUGUUGAAGUGGGUGGCAAUUAAUGUUGUUGAUCAAGUGUCAGAAAAGAAAAAGGUAGAAGAAAAAAAAUGGCAGUGUUGAAAUGGAUGUGACGAAUAUCGUUAUGGAACUCAAUGGUGAUAUUAAUGGCGACGGAAAAUAAUUGAAGUGAAUGUUAAACAUUUGGCAUGAAGACAAUGAUUUUUAAAGUAUUUGGUAUUUUAAGACAAUGGUUGAAUUGGUUUGUCAUUUUACAAUUUCGUGGAGAAAAUACAUUUGAAAGAUUAUAGAUUUUUUGUAUAUGGUUAAUGAUAAUUUUGAGAAACAAUUUAACAUA